ACACUAAAGAUCCAAUCAACUUUAUGAAUCGUAGUGGUGUUUACAGAUUAUCUUGUUCCGAUUGUGAUGCCUCUUAUGUAGGAAGAACCUAUAGAUCACUGUCUACUAGAGCAGCAGAGCACACUAAACGUGACAAUACAUCAGCUUUCUCUCACCAUCUCAAAGUCAACAAACACCACCUUAACAUCCCAGAUGGUGUGACUUUGAUUCAUAACAUCCAAGAUAAGAAUACCCUUCGUUUAGACCUAUAUGAGGAUUUAGAGAUUGUCAGGGACGCAAGGACAAGUCCAAACUGUGUUAACCGUCAACUUUCUCUUAACCGUGAUUUCACCCCCAUUCAUAGACAAUUAUUUCCAUAAUUCUAUAUUUUUAUUCACCUUCACAUUGGCCUUCUUUCCUAUACAUACCACGACAAACCCAAAAUAAACAAAAAACCCAAACAUUAUACCUAAUCAAAUAUUCUUUUAGUACUUCCAGUUUCUUUCACUCUGUGCUCCUGUCAAGACUCUAUCUCUUCCAUCUCAUUCUUUAAUUAUUUUCACUUAACAAAAUCAUUUUCUCAUUAUAUCAAAAUCACACCAUGGAACCCUUGAUCUUUUCGGAUAUGACAUUCUAAUAUAGACAAUAACCAAAAAUUUUGUUGAAUUUCCAACAUUUUAAUUGAUUCACUCUAUUUUUCAUUUAGAUUAAAAUAAAAAAUAAAUCUCAGCUAUCAACAUUUAAUAAAUUUACUUAAUAUCAACUUUGGUCAAUACAAUAUUCAAUCUAGAAUUUCAAUAGUUUAAUAUGUGACAUAUUCUUUUUACAUUUAGAGCUUACAAUCAAAAUUAAUUUUCUUCUUUGAUCAAAACAUGUACAUUUCUUUCAGCGCAGUUUUCCUAAUUUAAUAUCAGUCUUUAUCCAUUUAACAAUUCACACAAUUUAAUUUCAAAACAGUAAUUAUAUUUCAUUUAUUUGUCCACUGAACAUAGGCAACUUACCUUAUCACCUUUUUAAUAAUUUUUCUAAAUUUAGAUUUUCAAUAGUUCUAUAUGGGACAAACUCUUUACAUUCAGUCAUAACAAAAUAUUUUUAGAGAAGAUUUCUUGAUUAAGAUAUGUACAUACAUUUUUUCAAUUCCACUUCCCUUUUUUAAUAUCAUUUCCUUUAAUACCUCCAAUAAUUCACAUUACAGAUCUAUAGAUUGGUAUUUUCUCAUUAUAUUCGUUGGUUCCCUGAAACAUAUGCAACCGACCAUUCACUAUUGGCAUUACUUCCAAUUCUACAGCUGCUACUCUAUUAAAAUAUCAUAUUUUGAUAAAAAAAUUUUAAAAAUUUUCUAUAUAAUUUUCAAUAAUAUUCAUUCAUUAUAACUUUGCUCAAAUUAAUAUAAUUAUUAUCAGUCCUAUACAGUAGACAAACAGUCUAUGACGUCACAGCAUAUGAGUAGAAUUUUGCUUUUGUUUACGGUGCACUAAUGAAUAUAUCAUUAUAGCUUAUUAACCUUUAUUUACAAUUUAGAAUUCAUAUCAAACAAAUUUAAUAGUUGCAUAUUCACAAUUGAAUAAUUAAGUUAAAUAUUAAUGCACAUUGUCAAAAAUUUUUCGGUUGACAUUUGAGAAAUCCACCUAUCUUCUUUGACAUCUUGUCAUGAAUUUUCAGGCACCAAUCUGUCUAAUCAGUUGGUUGUUAACCUCUCACCUGAUCACAACCUUGUGCUAAUUCCGAGCAAGGAUGACAUACAUCCACAUGUGAUACAUUUUUAAUCUUAAGACAUCGACUUAUUGUCGAUUACUAUACAGCUCAUAAUGUAGCAAUAAUGUUAUUUUGAGGUUUUACACCUAUUCAAGUGGCUAGUUUCAAUUACUUGUACACUGGACACUUACCAACAUAUGCUAGAACAAACACAGCUAGAUGGAUGUAUGCAGACGAUACAGCCAUUGGAAUCAUCAGUCAAAUACCUGCAAGUACACCUCGACUGGAAACUGAACUUCACAAAACAUUGAAGCUAACCAUGAUAAAAGCUGCAUUAUUAAAAAGACUAAUAUUCAACCUUACAUGUUAUUAUAAAAAGACUAAUAUUCAACCUUACUUCCCGUCUACCUGAACAAUUUGAUAUUUUCUGAAGAUAUUAAUAUAUUAAAAACAAUUUACGAACAUAUCAAAAAUUGUAAAUAUAGAUUGUAGCAAUAAAAUUUACCCUGUAUUUAAGAAAUUUUGUUAAAACAAAGCAGGCAUGUUUGUUAAAACAAAACAAACAUGUUUGUUUUGUUGUUAUUUUGUUUUAAAUAAUCCUGUAGAUUUAAGUAAUUAUUGUAUAUUAUAAUUGAAAAAAGAAAAGAACAAAAAAAAAGAGAAAAAGAAAAGAAAAAAAAAAAAAAGAAAAAAAACAGAAAAAAUAAAAAAAGAAAAAAAAAAAAAGAAAAAAAAACUAAGAAGAUGUAAACCUCUGCGAGGAUGAAUCGGGUUUACGUCUUAGCGUAGUACAAAAAAAAAACAAUUUAUAAAAAAUAACAAUAAAAAAAUUAAUAAAAAAAAACAAAUUAACAAUAUAAAAAAAAUGCAAAAAAAAUACAAAAAAAAUAAAAAUUUACAAAAAAAAAUGAACAACCAAAAUAGAGUAUUAUUUAGAUAAUAAUGUUAGUUUGUUAUGUAUUUAGAGUUAGAAAUACAGAAAAAAUUCCUCUGAUUGAAAAAUCAAAUUUGUUUGUUUUUAAAAUAACAAAAUGUCUGGCUAAUUGGCUCGGCCAAAGCCAUCAAAUUCACUCAAAAAAAAAACCUUACAUGUUUAGAAUCAGCCCUCUAAA